rnacentral:tRNA from 1 species
GGUAGCUUUGUGGUAGAGUGCUUGCCUUGCAUGCAUGAGGCCCUGGGUUCAAUUCCUCAGUACCA